CUUUACUACCAACAAGUUCUUACUUUUAAAUUUUCUUUGAGUCACAUUAGUUUCUUUCAGUCGGUUAGUCAGAAUCAAGUUCCAUUAGUUUCUUUCAGUCAGUCGGUCCGAGUCAAUUCCAUUAAAAUUUCCUAUGAGUUAUCCUUGUGUCAUGAUCCUAUAGUUCAAAUUCGAUUGGGAAUUCCACGGGUUGAAAAUAUCUUUGAGUUCAUUGUGUUCUUUAAAGCUCUUGGAAGAAAGCACCAAGUGGUAAAAGGCAGAGUGGUGAGCUUAUUAGAGGGUAAAAGCCAUAUUGUGUGAUUUCUGAGUGAAAACAGGUGAGGCAGAUAAAUUGCUAGUUUUAGGAUGUCUGAACGAGAAGAUUCCAAUUCAAGCCGACACGGCAAUCAUAACUGUGCAACGGAUGAUUUGAUGCAGCUGUUUGAGAGUGCAUUUGGAGUUGUAAGGGAUAUGUUAGAUCAACAAGACGCUUGGAGGAUUAAGCAGGAAGCUUGGAUUACUAGGUUGGAUACAUCGGUGGCUAACCUUAGUAGGGGACAACCAGUGGAUGUGUCAAAUGCUAGGGGACCGGGUAGGAGAGAACCUAGGAGAGUAAGGCGUGAGGAGUUUGAUAGUGAUAUGAAUGAGUUUGAGGCUAAUGACAUGGAUUGGGGACGGACGAGGAAUAAAGGAGAUAGGUUUGAAAGAAGGGGUAGGAAUAAUCAUGGAGACGAGAUGGAUGGAAAUUUGGAAAACAUAAAGAUGACCAUUCCACAGUUUAAAGGGAGAAGUGAUCCGAAAGCAUAUUUAGUGUGGAAAAGAAAGGUAGAGUUGAUCUUUGAAUGUUAUAACUAUUCGGAGGAGAAAAAGGUGAGGUUGGUGAUUUUAGAAUUUAUAGACUAUGCAAUAACUUGGUGGGAUCAAGUAGUUACUUCACAACGUAGGUGUGUGGGUAGACUGAUUAGCUCUUGGGAAAAGUUGAAGGCAUUGAUGAGAAAACGGUUUGUUCCUAGUCACUACUAUAGGGAGGUCCAUCAAAAAUUGCAAAGUUUGUACCAAGGGUCGGAAAGUGUGGAAGAUUACCACAAAAAGAUGGAGAUUCUUAUGAUUAUGGCAAAUGUGGUUGAGGAUCGGGAAGCUACCAUGGCACGAUUCUUGAAUGGGCUAAAUCGAGAAAUUGCUAACGUAGUAGAAUUGCAACAUUAUGUGGAAUUAGAAGAUAUGUUGCAUGUAGCCAUGAAGGUAGAGAGGCAAUUGAAGAGAAAGGGGAAAGUUAGACCACAAAUGGGUGCUUCGAGUUCUAAUUCAUCUUGAAAAUUGAGGUGGGACAACAACAAAGGAAAUAGGGUUGUACCUAAAGAUAGAAAUGAAUGGCAGAAGGGAAAGGACGAAGGAGCUAGCAAAACAACACCAAAAUUGGAUUCACAACCAUCAAGGAGUCAAGACAUCAAGUGCUUUAGAUGUUUGGGGUCGAGGCACAUAAGUUGCAAUGGUUAAAUGAAAGUGGAGAAGUUAGGGUUAAUCGAAGGGUGUUAAUCAAUCUCUCAAUUGGAAGUUAUCGGGAUGAGGUAGUGUGCGAUGUAGUGCCAAUGCAGGCGGGACAUAUCUUGUUAGGGAGAUCUUAGCAGUAUGAUAGAAAGGCUAAGCAUGAUGGGUGCAAGAAUCGCUACAGUUUUGUUAAGGAUAGAAAGACCAUUACACUUGUGCCAUUAACUCCAGCGCAGGUAUAUGAAGAUCAAGUUAAGCUAAGGAACGAGGAAGGGAGGAGAAUAAAAGAGCUAGAAAAAAAGAGAGAAAACAAUGAGGUUGUGGGGACGAGUAAAAAAUUGUAAGGCGGCUGUUAGAGAGAAAAAGAGAGAGGAGCCACAAGAGAGAAAAGAAAGAGAGUCUUUCGAGAGAAAAUAGAAGUCACGAGCGAAUUUCUUUGCAAAAAUGAGUGAUUUGAAGAGAGCGGUGGUUGAGAAGAAAGAAAUGAUUUUAUUGUUGUAGAAAGAAACACUCCUCAACUUUGAGGAGACUAACCCACCCCUCCCUAGUUUGGUUAAGUUUUUGUUGCAGGAAUUCGAAGACAUAUUCCCGGAGGACAUGGCUAGUGGGUUACCACCCAUUCGAGGCAUUGAACACCAGACUGACUUCGUACCUGGAGCUGUUAUUCCAAAUCGACCAGCUUACCGAAGCAAUCCCUAGGAGACAAAGGAACUUCAACGACAAGUAGAGGAGUUGAUGAGCAAGGGUUAUAUAAGGGAGAGUAUGAGUCUAUAUACAGUACUAGUAUUGCUUGUGCCAAAGAAAGAUGGAUCUUAGAGAAUGUGCAUGGAUUGCAGAGCCAUCAACAAUAUAACGGUAAAGUAUCGUCACCCUAUACUUAGGCUAGAUGAUACGCUUGAUGAAUUGCAUGAUGCUUGUACUUUUAGUAAAAUUGAACUUAAGAGCGGGUACCAUCAAAUUUGCAUACGGG
rnacentral:lncRNA from 1 species